UACAAAAGUUGUAUAUCUUUUUGUUACCUACAACUUUACCAUUUAACUUUUUUCCAUAGGACUUGCAAUUUCACCGAAAAUUGCGAUAAACCGAUUUUUUCUUCCGAAGAGGGUGUGGGGAGGGGGGACUCCCCACUUCCCUAACUCGGAUGGAGUGGAAUUUAUGUUUUCUUCCAUUUUUAGCUUAUCCAUUCUACUAUAUUAUUAUUUGCUUCAAAAGUUAUUUACCCUAGUCUACUCUGCGAAAACUUCCAUAAGAUUCAAUGUGUUGCAAUGCGCUCUUAACUUAAUUGUUUUUAUUUAACAUGCCUUGAAAUAUAAUAAAUAUAAUAUAUCGUAUGUAAAGUUUAGUUUUGGGAGCUGAGACCUAAAGAAAAGUCAAGUAGAGGUGAAAUUGAGAAAGGAUAUUCUUAGUACAAGUUCAGACUGACCUUGUACUAAGAAAAUUGAAAGACAAAGGUUACUUUGUCUGGGUGUACGCCGAAUAAAUACUAAUGUAAUAUGCUAACCAGUAUUGUAAAUAAACGUCACAAUAUUUUUAUACAAACGUCAUUAAUAUGUGACGUAGUGAUUUAGCAUUAGGACUUAAGAAUAUAACCUGUAUCUUAGAAUAGGAGAGAGCAUUAAUAAACGGAACGUGUAACAAUCAACAUCUUGUUUAAUUCGUCCAAGUCCCGUCCUUACAAAUACGCUAUUUUUUUUUUCGAAGUGUCAACAAUCGCAGUGGUGUGAAAUAUCUUAUUGAAGAUAAACAUUGCUUCAACAAGAGAAAAUCAUAAUAACCAUGUCGCCUAACUUUAAGCUUACAUAGCACAGCUCUACGAGAAAUGGCUGAACAAUGUGUAAGAUUACGUAAAAGCUAAUAAACUGUUUGCAGAGAAAACUAAAGAACGACAAAGCGGAUAAAUUGCAACGUUCGCCACAAUUCAGCAACAGCCAGAUUAACGGCCAAGAGUUUGCAAAGGUUGAGAAAGAGUGCUUACGGAUGAGAAGGUUCUCUGAAUUCUUAUACCUACCUAUGCAGUAAAAAGGGUUACAUAUGCAGUAAAUUGGUCUCAAAAAUCCAGAUAAUUAAAUAUUUAUCAAGUUACUGUAGAAAAGAAGUUACCUCCAUUACCCCAGCAACAGAUACGCUGACGCAAAAAUGUAAAUAACGAUAUUCUAUUACUUGAACAAACUGAAAGAAAAACAAGAAAACUGCUAAAGGCGGCAAGAAAAGCGUUGCAUUUUCUCCACCUUCAAGAACAAAGUACUUGUGAAAAAACAAUAAUGUUCAAGCAACAAAAAACAAUUAAAGGUUUGAGUGGACUCGACUUGCCGUAGUCAGAAAGAAGUCCUGGCGGUAUAAUAAGGCUCUUGAAAACCUGAAGAUGAGACAGACAAACGUCGUUGACAUUUGUGGGAAGUGCAAUUCUAGCGGGAACGAGAUGAGCUGAUUUGACAGAUAUCGGAGAGGGUUUGUGUAAAAAGUUAUGAAUAUUUCCGUGAACGUGCCAAAAUGUGCUAACAAUAUUACAGAUGAAGAUUGUGCAUGUCUGCAUAUUGGUUAUUCUUGGUCGCUAUCUUUGCUGAAGAAGAGCUAUCAUUUCAAUAGAAUUAAGCCCUUUUGGUUUCGAAUCUGCAUGCAGUUUAUAUUUCUCGUUAACAGACGACAUCGUGCUUUGUGUGUCGCUACCAGUGGAGCUCAAUCAAUUAAACGUCUUUAAAGUAAGUGGCAUUAAUUAGUAAGAUUGUCGCGUGAAGUCCCUCACGUGCAGACUCAUUAUAUCAUAAUAAACAAUGUUACAACUUGGCGGAUGUGGAUUUCCGUAGAAGUAUACAUGGCUACCUAAAUACCUGUACGUAAUUAGGUCCGGGCAGUGCACGGCCGAUGGAAUGGAAAGUGCGGUUCCAUUGACUAAAACUAAGCGACUGAUCAUCGUUUACUAGUUAUGUUAAUGUAGAAAGUUUUAUUAAUACUGAGUAUGUUUGUAUAGAUAAACUAAUAGUUGUUAACGAAUACCUAAUUUUAAUUAGUAAUGUUGACUCGAAAUACAUCGCCAUUUAACUAGUAAAUACAUUAGUUAAAGUGCAAAAGUAUGUGUUUACUUUAAGAGUCCUAUUAGAUGAUGAUGUUUACUUUCUGAUAAAUAGACUUGAUACGUGCAUCCAGACAUAAAUUCGCAAUAAGUUUAUAGUUGCAUGUAUAAACAAAACGAUGAAAGACAUGAUACUAAGGACAUCGUCGUAUAUUAAUUAAUACAAAACUAUAUCAAUUAGAUUUUACUAGUCCCGAACCAAGAAUAAUGUUAAUUAAACACUUAAAAUAAUUAGUGUCAUCAAAAAUAUGGGCCCGGAGUUCGUAUCAUACGUAUAUUAAUGACACCGACUAUUUGUAUUACCACUCAAAUGUGUCCCAUAUUUAAAUACUAGGGACGAAACAAAUACAUCAAACUUCCGUGUUCAAAACAAUUAAUCUAUAUUAAUAUAAAAGCAAAGCCCUUUUAAUUCAUUCAUAUUUUAUUGAAAAAGUACUUUGAAAUUGACGAUGAUAGAGUAAAAGUAUUAUUAAGUAAUUUAUAGUUUCUUUAGAUGUUGUUGAUUAAAACUGGAAAUCGGUAAAGAGGAGAGGAGACACAGGUGUUGAAAAUCUCACGGGUCAGUUCACUCCGUAGAAUCGUUGAUCAAGUUUCAAAAAAACUCCCAACAACUUUUCUCAGAACAAAACAGUCUAGUUAAUUAAGGGAGAGAACUGUUCAAAGUUAUUGCAAAACAAUUUCUAUUUUACGCUGGUAAUGAUAAUUUAAUGCUACAUGUUCUGAAUUUCUUAGCAGUAUUACUGCUCUUGAUAAGUAUUAGACUAAAUGAGAAAUUAGUUUGUAUCUCUGAAUGCUCAUGUGAAAUUCUAAUAUCUAGAUUUAACUUGUCCAAGUACGACUUUACUAAUCUAAGCUUUGGCUACUUCUAGGUCCGAAUGUUCAGUUCGUUAUGAGUUAGUAACCACGAACUUAAUCUAAGCUCAGAAUCUAAUGGGCUUCUUAAUUAAUUGAAUGUCUUACUUAUCCUUAGAACAUCAUAUCUUUAUAUAUAUAAUUCUUCUGUAAGUGUGUAUGUCACUGAACUUCUCUUAAACGACUGGACCGAUUUUGAUGAAAUUUUUGUGUGUGUUCAAGGGGAUCUGAGAAUGGUUUAGAUUCACAAUUUUGUCCGCUGGAUAAUUUUUAUUUUAAAUUAAUUUUUAAUUUAUUAGUAGUUGUUGUUUUUGGAAUGUUUUACAUUGGAUCCGACAAUUUUUUAAAUUAAAGACGUGUAGACAGGACGUUUGUCGGGUCCGCUAGUCAUAAAUAAAACAAUAAUACGGUAAUUGAUAUCGAAGAAAGUUGUUCAUUUUCAGAUAAAAACAACAUAAACUUAACACCUAGUCUAUUAUUUGCCACAGAGCGGUGUAUUAAUUACAAUAUUCAUUGCUUGCUAAUAAACUAAUAAACCAAUUGACAACGAGCAAAAUAAAAACAUCGUGCGCGCUGCAUUUAGCACCCAAAGGAAAAGAUUAAUACUGGAAGUAUCGCAAAGAGCAAGCAGGUUUUAAUUAAAUUUCUUUAGAUUUAUUGGUACCAUAAAAUUUGUGAAAAUGAACAAAAAUAUAAAUCUUUCGCUUAAAUAAGCUGCACUGAAUGCAAUUAUGAACCGUUUUAUUUAAUAUAGUAGGUAUAAUUUAAUCUAGUAGGUUAUAAUUUAAUCUAGUAAGUACCUAAUAUGGCAAAUAUAAACAAUUUAGGUUAGGUUAGUCGUCCAGUGUUAGAUACAUAAGCUUUUACGUUAUCAGCCAGGGUAUUACAGUAUCAAUUGGGUGAUAGAGAAUUGGAUCGGGUGAUUCGUUGAAUUCUAGUUUCUAUAGAUAGGUGGAUUGCGGAACGUAAAAGCAAACGAACGAAUAGUGUUUGUACUUUUAUUCUAAAACUAACACUUCCAUCGUCAAUAUUAGCUCAAACUAUGCGGGUAUGGUUUCGCAUAAAAUUUUAAAUGUACAUUCGUAAAAAAACGAUGAAACAUGUCCAUGGCUGUUAGCGUACAUUGGAAUAUUUUAGCACGUACCUCACGUCACGCGGUAAAGAAGAAUGUGCAAUACAAAAUAGACCAGCAAAUCAACGGUUUGGCUAGUUGUUAUACAAGUUUCCAAUCAAGGCCGCGCCAUUGUACCUUGUGUAACAAGCUACCCAUUUAGAAUUAUGUUAGCAUUAUGUGUUAAUCGACAAAUAACAUAAAUCAUGUUAUUGUAGGUUUACUAUGUUUUAAAAUAUAUAAUCCGUACUUUUUACUGGUAUUCAUUUGUAUGUUCACAUGAAGCUCAAGUGUGAUAGUCUUUUUUAGGUUAACGUUGCUCUCGGCAAUAAAACCUAAACGUUGCAAUGCUUCUUGAAACUGUCACAUAAACAAAACAAAUAGCUAUUUUGCUUACAUAACACUACCUACUGACCUGAGUUAUAAAAGGCUCUUGCGAAAUUACCAUGCAUCCGACACAUUAUGGGAUAAAUUUAGAUUGGACCGAAGGGAUAUGAUGAAGGAAUUGACUUAGGCACCUCAAGGGUAACGACUGUACGACGAUAUUUCAGCCGAUCGUAAAAUAAUGUAGGGUAAUAACAAAAAGACAUGUCACUGUGUUUGUCAAUUAUUGCAUUUUCAUAAUUUAGUUUUCCUGAACACAGGAGAAAUGAACCCGCAAACUUAACUGCCCGUAAUAAAUAGAUGCACGGGACACGUGUUGAAAUCGUUUAAGAGAGAUUUGAAUUUCAGAUAAAUAGUGUCGUCAGAGUUGUAGGUAGGUGCAUUGCUUCAGUACGGAUAAAGAAAAUACUAAAUUGUCCACUUACAGUUGGAAGUUGAACCUGUUGAAUAUGGUCGAGUAAGUGGUAUGGACGUGGGCGUGUCGGCGGGUCGGUGUAAAUCCGCAAUGCUUCGAGCAGAGGCCGUGGUGGUGCGUAUAAAUUGUGCACGUGUCUUUAGCGAGUAUAAAAUAUCUUUAGGUGAAACAGUAUCAGAUUUUCAGCAUUCAUUUGUACGCAACACAUUUCUGUCCAAUUACAUUGGCGCUAAUAACCAUUUGUGAAAAUAAAUUGGAAAAAGUAACACAAAUAUCCGUUCAAAUGUAAUUAUCAUAUCAGGUACCAACAACAUGAACUCUCUUUUUCGCAAUUUCCUUCAACUCCGGACGGGUACACAAUAAAGUUAAUAUCCGAUGCACUUUCCAGUCAUAUAAAACCCUUUAAGCUCUUUCAAAGGAAACAAUAUUACAUUAUAAAAGAUAUUCCUAAAGCACGGCUUUCGAGGGCUUCGUUGACUUAGCGAGAAAAGAUAUAUUUGAUCCCCUUGAAAACAGCUAGUAUGAAGAAGAAUCAAUAUUUUUAUUGAGAUAACAUCAUAGAGCCUUAGGCUGUAUAUCACAUUUUGUCACAUAUAAAAUGGACAGAAUGUUUCUAUCUUGCAUGGCAUGUUUUCCUCGGAAGUAAUAUUAAAAUUUACGACGAAGACGGUGGAAUGAAUUUCAUUGCAGCAGCAAUAUUAUCUUAAUUUAUUAUUUAUAAGUCACACGAAUAUAACACUCCACUUACCUUACGAACGGAAAGAGUCGAAACAACGACGGAUUUAAGACAAGUUUGAAUUACAGUAGUCAAUAAAAAAGUGCAGUAACUACUAAUCAAGUGUGCAUCUAACUACAUUACGAAGCUCAUUUAAACCCGCAACCACGUGCUGAGAAAAAAAAAACGAAUUGUUCUUCUUUCCUACAAUGAGUACAUCGCCUGCUCUAUAAAGAAAAAAGAACACAACUAGCAAACCAAUGCAUUCGACAGUCAUGCCAGAGUGACUAAGUGUAACACGAAUAAAAAACCUUUUCCUAACUAAAAAAUAACAAAAACGAAGCUGAAAAAAUAUCGAGCCCAGUGUGUUACGUGACUCAAUCAUACAAGGUUAUAAGGGACCCGGUAUUGGUAACUGCCACGUGUGUGUUUGUGUGUGUAUGUGUGUGGAAAAUUAUAAAAUACCAUUUGUUUUUUUGCAAACCAAAACGUGUUGUUAGGUCUAUGUUAAAUUUAAACGUUUAGGUGUAAAAAAACGUUACGUGUUUGUUAAAAAAAGCAACUAAUAUUUUAACCACUCUGUGUUUAGGUGUAAAAUUCUAUCUGAGUAUUGAUAGGUAAAUUGAUUUUAUUUUCUUGAGCGUAGAAAUAAUUUCAUUUUUGCUCACUUCCAUUACACAAGAUUGAAUGACAUUAAAAAAGAAAACUGAAAAUAUUUUCUCAAGGUAGGUUUAAUGAGAAAAUAUUGAAUUUCUUAAUAAAAUGUCUAUCCUACACAAUUUGUUUGAAAGUUCCGCAAACGGAGAGCGCCGUCUUGUAAUUUUUCUAUUUCCUUCGCCCUACUGUCGCAAUUGCGCACAUUUAUGAUAUUUCGUUUGUGGGUGAUGUUUAUCUAUAGUGGCUGCUGUGAGAGCACGAUUGAUUUUUAUUGCAGAUAGUGUACAGUGAAUUCUUUGUAGCAUUCAUUCAUUUAUAGCACAACCACAAAACUGUAUGAUAUUUAAAAUGUAUUUGAAAGAAAUACACAGUGUUGCGAUGUUUUAUAGUGAAAUAGUCUUUGAUCUAUCACACCUAUCUAGGUACUCGGCAAUUCCAUCAACCGCCUGUUGUAUUACACAUACUUUUUUAUUACACAACUCAACAAAAUUUGUUAUUAGGGACGUAUUACAAAAAUCCCACAUCCCGUCAUUUCCCAGAAACAAUGAGUAACGUGUAAUAAGCAAUAUUAGCCUUUCUUUCUCAUUGAAACUUGAUAUUUUCGAUUGUUUUAUACUUAAAAAUGUAAUGGGAACUGUUUAUUCGCAUUUUUUGCAUCAAUACAGUUUGUUUUACUUAGGUAAUGAGAAAAUAUUAAGAAUUGUUUUCAUCCAUAUAAGUAAAUUGAAUAUAUAUAUUUUUUUUGUUUAAAUAAACGAAUAAUGUGGGUUACUGUUAUAUAUUUACAUUUUCAUAUGCUGUAUUUUCCAGUGGGAAAUCCACCAAUAUCGUUUCGUUUUAAAUAACAAUGGUAAUUAUAUGCGUUGGUUAACAUAUAUUGAUAUAUGCACUAAAAUACCAAGAAGCUUCCGAGUAACGCGGACGUGUAAUAUCGGCUUUGAUGGUAAAGUUCACGAGAACAUUCCUCUAGCUGUAGUCGGGGAACUCGUAUUUAGCGAACUAGCAUGACUUACCGGCAAUGCACGCAUUGUUUUCGUCUUAACUAGCGUUUGCUCAAGCACAGCUCGGAAGUGGUGCUCAUGUCCCGAAUAGUUACAAAACAUUCAUGUAACACUAUCCCGGAAUUCAGCUUAUCGCUUUGUAUGCAGUCGCAUCUUGUUACGUAUAAAUUCCCUCGGUUUAUUGGAGUAUAACUUCGUCCUAUACCAACGUUGCAAGCUUUCAUCUUUUUUCAGACAGAAGUGUUGAAAAUGUUUUACAGCAGUAAAUGUUUCAUAACGACAAUACAAAAGUUACUCACUCUCAUCCUAACAAAAAAGUGAAAAAGGCAACCUUUAAUUAAAACUCCAGUGUAAAGCGAUUCAGUCAGAGACUCAUUUCCAGACUGUUUCAAUACAAUACUAGAUACUUAUUUCCUUUUACAAGCUGUUAAGUUGUAAACAAAGGGAAGCAGUUCCUUUGUUUAUUAAUUAAAUCUUAAUUGAUAUUGCCUUACAGUGGGUUCGUUUGACACAAGUAGACCACACUACUUUCAAGUUAGUAGUUUUAAUUUUGAAUCAAAUAAACAAUGGUUUUAGAUUUAGAAUAAUUGAAAGUAUGGCCGCCAGGGGCUGUGAAAGCCUCAAAAGUCACUUUAAAAUUUAAUUCUUUAAAAAUAAAUAUUCCUAUUGCAUGACACUUUUAUAUCUUAUUUUUAAAAAGGGUGUUACUGCAACGGUCUUUCGAACACAAACAAACGUUCACUUUCUAUACGCGUCUAUGAGCAAGCAACAAAAGGCUGCGCAAAGCUACUUAAAUUUAAGCUCUCCAAAGCUUUGCUCGCACUUGCCGCCCCCAGCUGACGUUAGUGGGUUUUAACUGUUCAAAAUGAAUGAAAUGGUGGUGAAAAUGUAAGCACCACCUUUGCUCUUUAAUUUUUUAGGAAUCCAUAUCGAUAGUGUAACAUCGGACUCUGUUAUCUACUAAUACCCAUCAGUUUGUUUGUCAGUCUGUGUGUCUCUGAAUAAACUGCAUUUUAUGAACUGCGAUUGCUGGACACUUAAAACUUUUACUAUAAAAAUACCCAUGCAACAAAUGCGAAGUUCUAUAUUAAUAGCGGCAACAGGUACGUAAAAACUACACUUGAUUUAACAUUUCACUUGGCUUUAAUAAGCAUUUCUCCCGUUUUCAAUAAAUGCGACGGAACCCUUCGAGUCCGAUUCGCACUUAGUUUAAACCGUUCAAAAGUCGCGCAGAAAUGAACAUAAUUUAAUUCUAACUUGUUCUUCUCUGUUUAAUGAAUGCUGUGCACUUGCGAAUAUUUGUUUUAUAAAAGAUUUAUUUUUAAACGUUAAUCUGUUGGUUAACAGGUAUAAACUCCUUCCGGGUAUUAAAUAAAUGAAGCAAAUCUUAGCCAGAGGCGAUAUUAAUAUUAAUAAUAGGCGAUAUAAUUACAAGGUGAUAAUUGAAUAAAGUUUAAUAUCAGUGAAUUUGAGUUACGUUUAAUUUUAUUUUUAUCAGCUUGAAAUUAUGUUAAGUCUAACUUAAAUUCCAUAAACAGACAUCAUAAAUGUAAAAUGGUUACUUGACACCGGUCAUUCGUUUCUGGUAUAAUUUGCAACACAAAAGAAAUUGUAAAGAGCUAAUAUUAAAGCUGCUACAGAACUGAGUAUGGAAGAUUCUACCGGUACAAACAAUUAAACACAAACACACAGCAAGUUAGUAAAAGUUUGCACGAAGACGAAACCCGUAUAUACUGAGCGAGAGUUAAAAAGUUUACUUACAAAAAUAGGUUAUUUCAAAUGGACUUUUCAACUUCAUAAAGAACCUGCAUACGCAACCUACGCAACGUAUAAAAGCUGUUAUUACCCAUAAAUAUUUUUACUGUUGUAAUAUGUGCAAUAACGCAAAGCAAAAAUAUUUUCCGCGUUUAUUUUCAUGUAAACAGUCGUUCGUGGUCGGUUCUAUUUCUAAAGCAGGUUACCUUUUCGAUUCGGAAACAAUCUCUUCGAAAGACUUUGCUUUGUCUUGUGUACACUCGAUAUUACUAAAAUCAGUACCUUUUAACUUACGGUAGGUAAGUUUAUUACCUUUUUCUGCGCCAUUCUGACUAGGUCGCCUUUUGUAUCGUGCCUUUAAUAAAAUUUAUCGACAGCGUCAAGAGAAUUGUACAGAUGUAAUAACUUUUAUUUGAAGUCCUAUUGGAUAGAUUUUUUAAAGAAAUUGCUCCUUAUUGCUGUUUGAGUGUUUUGUUUGAAAACAAAUAAUUAUGUUAUUGAAGUUGAGUAUAUUAUUCGUUUUAGAGAGUAGUCUUUACUUUAUUUGUAAACAAUAUUCGGAGAUUUACUGUUUUUCGUACGAAAAAGUUCAUUGACAUGAAAAUUUUAAGUGUUUCACGUGUGACGUCACAGCCGCUAGCAGGUGUGCUCUACUGACACACAAAAUACUACAAAACGAAGACGUACCGGCGACGAGAGAAUAGAAGCCGCGUCACUUUUAUUUGUCUUACCCAAUCCAUUAGACACGACCAAUUAACCAUUCCUACGGAUACAGUCCAUAUUUAAGUGUUGGUAGUCUUUUUCAAUCAUGUCGAUUUUAUGCACCAUAAUAACCCUGGCAUCAUACCAAAAAUUCUGGUAGAAUGUAUGUCGACGUUAUUAGAUUAAGGGACAAUAAACUGUAAACAUUAGCACAGCGUAUUGUUCAUCAGGGUAAGACAACAGGUUAUGAAUAUAAUAUCAGUAGUUACUAACUAUACCAAAGAGGUACUGUCGUCUCAUCCGUGCGUUAUAGAGAAAAUCGAUUAUUCGAAACAAAGCGCGCGGACGCUUCCUGCUUGUCCAUGUUGGUGUACCAGAAUAGAUCAAUAAUCCAAAAUAGAUUUAAUACAGCACAUCCGGUGCAUUUACUAGUUAAUAUUUUAGUAUUAUAGAUUUACUAUGCACCGUUCAUUAGAUGAAUACAGAUCAAUUAUUUACAGCAUUUAUGCAGAGGUAAACACAAACACAGUAUGCACAUACCAAGCUCCCAGAUAUGACUGUUUGAAUUGAUUAUCCACCCCGCAAUUAGGUAUGUGCAAUUAAUUAGUUGAAUUUUCAAACACAUAUUAAAUUGGAGCAUUAAUUUAAUAUUUUUGUAUAUGUUCUUUGUACAGCUUCUACUCUUAACAACAUUUUACUCAAAUCACUGAACGUGUCAGUUAGUCAUGCAUAGACUGGUAACAUGGACAAUGGACAUGGAUUUUUGUUAAUGGAGGCUUCUCAUGUUUCAUUUACUAUAGUGGGCCGAACAUUCGUACCUUUCAGCUCUAUGCGAAUUUUUACAAGUAUACCUACAACCUUCCCUAAACAUUUUUGGCUAAAUUGAUGGACUAUUAAAAUCUUUUUCACCAAUAAAGAAACAAUUAAACUUUCUUUAAAGAGUAGUCCACAGCUAGAUCAUACAAAAAUAAAACGCGGAUCGACAGCAAAAUGGAGAUUCCUGGAGUAACAUUCAGAGUAAAACAAAAAGAAAUGAAACAAUGGCGCGCAGUUGUGGUUCUUUAGCGAGUUAAGGAGCUUAUACGUCUGGGACACUGCACAAACAUUUAUUCUUGAAGUCGAAGGAAAAAUAUUUUAUGUAAACGAGCUACAAUUUUCCCAGCAGGGAUCAGAAUAACCAGCAAGUUUUUAUUUUAAACUAACUUUUCACAGACGCUUACUGUGAAUAAAAAUGUGCAACAAUAGAAGUUCACUUAUCUUAGUUUGAACCUAAACAUUUUUGGCUAAAUUGAUGGACUAUUAAAAUCUUUUUCACCAAUAAAGAAACAAUUAAACUUUCUUUAAAGAGUAGUCCACAGCUAGAUCAUACAAAAAUAAAACGCGGAUCGACAGCAAAAUGGAGAUUCCUGGAGUAACAUUCAGAGUAAAACAAAAAGAAAUGAAACAAUGGCGCGCAGUUGUGGUUCUUUAGCGAGUCCUAUCUGUCGCAUCGUGAGACCGUACCGAUAAACUGCAUCAAGAUUCAAUAAACAAUACUUCUCACUUAAAAUAUCCAGAUGGGUAAACUGGUAUAUUGUAUUGAUAUUUUUUCUUAAGUAACCGGUUUUUGUUUGCUAAAGUAGAUACUUAGCAUGGUUUUUUUUUUGCUUCUAAUGUAAAUAUGUACAUUUGAGUUAAAUGGUCUUCGAAAACGUGUGUCGUGUGUAAUAUAUAUAGGGAAUGAUUGUAUGAAAAAAAAUGUGCACAAAUGAGAUUCAUCUUAAAACGAAUGCUUCAAACAAAUUACUGUCUGCGGCUCAAAAAGUGAUCAAGCACUUACAAAGAGCGCGAAGAUAAGCAAGCGCCCUCAUUACACGGAUUGGGACAUUAGAGAUGCAACAAUUUCAUCAGUACAGCUUUCCUGUUACGAAACAUUAACAUACGAGUACCGUAAUAGUUUUUUUAAACCAUUGGCCUAUAUUUGACGAAGGCGUAACGUAUCGUUUGCUACCCGUUAUUUGUUUUUCACAGUUCCGUGAGAUAACUGGGUGUAAUUAAAGAUACUUGUGAAGAUUUAGUGAGUUGGUGUACAGCGAACCGAUCAAUUACCAAUGUUGUUUAUUAAGAAAACGAGGCGUGUAAACUAAUUUUCUUUAUCGUUUAACGAUUCAUACAACUUGUACUAGUUCGUACUUAAUAUGUCGGUUGCCGGCUAGUUGUUAAGUGAGAUCUAAUUUAUGACUUUUCGUUUUAGUAUGUAAUUACAUUGUAUUUUGUUCGUAUGAAAAACUUGACAGACGGUUAAUUCAGUUUUGAUGUUCUAUUUUACUUACAACCCUAUUCUGGCUCCGUAUCAUUGUACAUAUUAGCGUAUGAGCCAUUUUGUUUGGUACACAAAAUUAUUUUUAAUAAAGUAACGAGCAAGUGUAGAUUACUCCAAUGCAAUGGUGCAACGGAGUUACCCGAGGCGGUUUGUGUACAGUAAUUUCAUGUUUCUUUUUAAACCAGACUAAAUUCUAGACAUAGCGGUGUGAGGGAACUUCGUCUCUAUAUCAGUAUUGCAAUAGUCUAUUAUUACUUACAUACUUACAUACAUAUGUAUGUAUGUAUAUAAGUCGCACGUUCGUGCAGCUGCCACACAAUUAAACUUUUUGAACGCUCCUGAAAUUUACUGCACAAUUAGUGUGCGUAAUGAGUGAACACUCGCAAUUUGUUAUUGAUAACCAAUGUCGUCUAUGUUCGAGAAAAUUGUUUGAUAUACAUUUGAGUGUAACGCAAGUUUAAUGAUUUAAUUGCUUCAAUGAAAUAGGUAAUUUCAUUUUAUCUUGACGCGAAUUAUUUUACGACAUUAUAGAGCGCUAUAACGACAACCGAUUUCAAUUAGAUUAAGGAAAAACUUUUGACAUUACGUUGCAAUUAAAUAUGAAUAUUAUUAAUAUUAUAUUAAAGUAAAAUAAAAUUCUGUAUAUUAUGAAUUAACGCCCAACGUCUAACUCAUUAUUUAGAAAGAGAGCGCGAAACCUCUUCUGUUGGAUUUUUGUGCUCGAGAGUAUCAUUAAAAUGUAUCCUGUCUACAUCCUGUAGUGUCGGGUGAGAGUGUUUGUGUGCAUGUCUGUGGCAACUACCAAUCGUAGGGCUCCAUUUCGGAUACCUGAAUGGUAUCUCUUCUCAUUGUGCGUGACGCGGCGAUGUGUGCGUCGGUUCCUCGUGUGCUGUCGGCUGCU